UUAUUAUUAUUAUUAUUGAAUACAGAGCAAUUAAAACGGUUUUGACUUGAAUAUAUGUGUGUUGUGGUAGACUAUAGUGUUUCAGAUUUGCAGAAGCCACAUAUUUUACCUAUUAAUGUGCCUUCAGGUUGAGGUGUGGCUAAACAUAUAAAGAGUUGCAGGUGACAGGUGAGCCAGUGGAUCAACACAUAGGUGAACAGUAAGUUGCGCAGAUGUCACUAAUUCAUUGACGUAAUUUGUAAUUUGUAAAGUUUGAAUAUAUUGUGUUGUAUUUCCUAUACAGAUUCUGCUGAACCCAUAAGUUCUCUGAAGUUAUGCGUCCACCACCACGACCACAACCUGCACCACCACGACCACGGCCACCGCCAAUACGGCACCAUCAAGUCCCCCACCAUCACAUGGCCCCCAUGUCCAUCUCCACAGGAGAAGAUACAAAAGUGAAGAUUGGUGUGUUGUGCUAUGAUGAUGGAUUUGGAUAAGUGUAGGCGCAGACACAGAUAAGAGACAGGCACCUCUUCUGCCACAAGAAGGGGAGGGAUUGUCACGGGGACUCCAGCAGCUCCUGCAGCAGUGACUCUGACUAGAUGAAGAUUUCGGGGCCGGGCUUUGUUGGAAACAUUAGUAUUACCUAUCCUUUCUCUUCUGUUUUUUUUUAAACGUUUACUUAAAAAUCAUUUUAACAGAUGUAAGAAAAAACUACAUUAAAUAUAAAGAAUAUGUAAAACAGAAGGCUCAUUCACAUAUUUAGAAAAACUGGAUGUAUGGGUUUUGGGAGUAUCAUUUUAAGCCUUGAGCUUUGCUAUGCUUACCUUGUUUAUUAAAUUAGAACAUGACAAGCUUGGCUCAACUCUACCUUAGAAGCUGAGGAAACUGUAUUCUCAUGGGGUAGCAACCUGUCAAUCACAAGGCAGGUCCUCCUGGAAAUUGUUUACUGAGUUCAUAAGUCGGAAGCAGGUAUAUCUCUGAAAUUAUGCCAAUAAAAUUCUUUUGCAGCCAGCUGCCCCCUGCUGGUCAUCAAAGAGAAUGCAUCUUUUAGACGCAGAAAAUGCAGAUUUUACAUCCAUCUUUUGUGCACAGACUUUGAGUAAUUUUUAAUCAGCUUCCACUGUAUGGUUACCUUACAAUGAAAUAAUAAAUAUAAACGGAUUAUU